rnacentral:rRNA from 1 species
UACGGGGGGAGCAAGCGUUGUUCGGAUUUACUGGGCGUAAAGGGUGCGUAGGCGGUCGCGUAAGUCGGAUGUGAAAUCUCAGGGCUCAACCCUGAAACUGCAUUCGAUACUGCGUGGCUAGGGUACUGGAGAGGAGACUGGAAUUUACGGUGUAGCAGUGAAAUGCGUAGAUAUCGUAAGGAAGACCAGUGGCGAAGGCGAGUCUCUGGACAGUUACCGACGCUGAGGCACGAAGGCCAGGGGAGCAAACGGG